rnacentral:rRNA from 1 species
AUUGAACGCUGGCGGCAGGCCUAACACAUGCAAGUCGAGCGCGCGGCGGACGGGUGCGUAAUGUAUGGGGACUGCCCGAUAGAGGGGGAUAACUCCUGUAAACGGUAGCUAAUACCGCAUCCUAUCGGAUAACCCAUAUGUGAUUAGCUCGUAUGUGAUGUAAUGGUUCACCUAGGCGACGCUCCCUAGCUGGUCUAAGAGGAUGAUCAGCCACACUGGAACUGAGACACGGCCCAGACUCCAAGGGAGGCAGCAGGGGGGAAUAUUGCACAAUGGGCGCAAGCCUGAUGCAGACAUGCCGCGUGUAUGAAGAAGGCCCUAGGGUUGUAAAGUACUUUCAGUCGGGAGGCGUUACCGACAGAAGAAGCACAGGCUAACUCCGUGCCAGCAGCCGCGGUAAUUC